rnacentral:rRNA from 1 species
GAUGAACGCUGGCGGCGUGCCUAAUACAUGCAAGUCGAGCGAACAGACGAGGAGCUUGCUCCUCUGACGUUAGCGGCGGACGGGUGAGUAACACGUGGAUAACCUACCUAUAAGACUGGGAUAACUUCGGGAAACCGGAGCUAAUACCGGAUAAUAUAUUGAACCGCAUGGUUCAAUAGUGAAAGACGGUUUUGCUGUCACUUAUAGAUGGAUCCGCGCCGCAUUAGCUAGUUGGUAAGGUAACGGCUUACCAAGGCAACGAUGCGUAGCCGACCUGAGAGGGUGAUCGGCCACACUGGAACUGAGACUCGGUCCAGACUCCUACGGGAGGCAGCAGUAGGGAAUCUUCCGCAAUGGGCGAAAGCCUGACGGAGCAACGCCGCGUGAGUGAUGAAGGUCUUCGGAUCGUAAAACUCUGUUAUUAGGGAAGAACAAAUGUGUAAGUGACUAUGCACGUCUUGACGGUACCUAAUCAGAAAGCCACGGCUAACUACGUG